rnacentral:rRNA from 1 species
CAGCGCCACGAGUGGUAACCGCGAUUAUUGGGCCUAAAGCGUCCGUAGCCGGUCCUGUAAAUCUUUUGUGAAAUUGUACAGCUUAACUGUACAGCGUGCAAGAGACACUGCAGGACUCGAGACCGGGAGGAGUCAGAAGUAUUCCAGGGGGAGCGGUAAAAUGUUAUAAUCCCUGGAGGACUACCUGUGGCGAAGGCGUCUGACCAGAACGGAUCUGACGGUGAGGGACGAAAGCUAGGGGAGCGAACCGGAUUAGAUACCCGAGUAGUCC